rnacentral:rRNA from 1 species
CUCCUACGGAGGCAGCAGUGGGGAAUCGUUGCACAAUGGACGAAAGUCUGAUGCAGCAACGCCGCGUGGGGGACGAAGGCUUUUCGGAGUGUAAACCCUUUCGACCCGGAAGAAUGCCCGCAAGGGUUUGACGGUACGGGUAUAAGAAGCCCGGCUAACUACGUGCCAGCCGCCGCGGUAAUAC